ensembl:lncRNA
CCAGUUUUGUACAUGGCAGCAGAUGGUGGGUGUGUGUGUGUGUGUGUGUGUAUGGGGGUUUUGUGUGUGUGAGAGAGAGAGAGAGAGAGAGAGAGAGAGAGAGAGAGGGAGUGGGAGUGUGCACGCACGUGCUGAUGCUAUUCCUGUAACCCCACAUGGCACUGUAGAUGGUGUGAGCAGGUAUUUAAGAAUGGUGGGAUUUCUCUGUUGGAGGGUGUGACGAAAUGGAGGUGGUGAAAUUUUGAUCAGAGAGAGAAGCACUCAUCACUCUCAGCAUGACCGGUUAUCACCUUUCACUUCUCUAAUGGCACGCCUUGCUCUGCUCAUUCUCCUUCUCUUUUUCUCAACACAUACUAUAUACAAUUAAAGAUAAAUAGAGUGAUGAGCAGUAUUUAAAAUUUGUAAUACUUUGUCAUUUGUAUUUUAUGCAAUAAAUAGGAAAAAAAUCUGUAUUGUCACUAAGGUAAAAACCUCAAGUGUUCUAGCUUUCAUAAAUGGCCCAAUUUAAAAUAUUUUCUGAAAGGGAAACAUUUUUAUACUAGAGAUCUACAUAUACACACCAG